AUAGAUAGAUCUAUCUAUCUAUCUAUACAUAUAUAGAUAUAUAUAGAUAUAUAGAUACAUAGAUAGAUUGAUUUGGAUAUCACAAAAAAUGAGUAAACCUUAUCUAUCCCAAAGGAAAAUCUGCAUUAUUUGAAGAAGCUGCAUUAAUAGAUUUUGUUUUUGGAAGAGAAAUCCUUUUUUAAAGCAUUUUUUAGCUUCCAAAACAACAGUGUGAUGUUAGUUAGCUGUUUGCUAACAUGUUAGCAUCAUCUGCGUUUUAAGCUAACAGUCAUAGUAAACAAAUAAACAAAAACUCUCAAUGCAGCUUCAAGGUUGAAUCAAACAUGAAAUAACCUCCAAUCAGUUUUUAAUCACCAGUAAACCCAUCAUCAGUCUGACUCCAGCCAAUAGUCACGCAGUUAACAGUGAUGUCACAGUGACAUCACAGCUGAUUUAUGGGAUGCUGUGAACUGAAGACGCUAUGCAAAGAUUCAAACUGUGUGUUUUCUGGAGGAAUGAUCGAACGUUCAGACAACUGAAUCGACCCGAUAGUAUUUUUAGAGAGCAAAUAUAAACCAAAAGCGUCCAUCAGUGGUGAAAAAGCUGUUAAACAGCAUUAAAGAGACAAAAUUUACAGAAUUUAAAAAGAACUACAGCAAAUAAAUAAUAAGAAAGAUCAGAAAAGUUUUUCUGUGGACAUGCAGAGCUGCUGUUGGUGUUUUAUGACCUCAGUGUUUCUAAAAUCCUGCUUCAGAUGGCAAAUGUUUGUGAUCUAAAUGUCGUCUGUCUGAUCGGCAGCUUUCGAUAACUGAUACUGUCGGACUUCAGCUGGUUUCCUUCGGUGUUGAGCGUCUGUUUCCCAGAAUCCUCCUGCUGUUCUCAGACCAGCUUUUACUUCAUAUUCCAGCUUCACUUGACUGCUUCGACUAACAUGAUCAGUGAUUUUUUGCCAAAAACAUUGCCAAAAUGUUUCUUUAACAUCCAAAUAAACUAAAGCUAAGGACGCUAAAGGGAAUAUGGGAAGAGAUUUUGGUUUCUUUCUGUUUUUUCUUGACACAACAGGUAGAUUUUCUGGGAAUGAAAUGCGACAGGUGCUACAGAAAAGCAACCAAAAAUAUCACGACAUGAGACGAGCUUUGAGAAGCUGAGCUCAGGUCGGACGCUGCAGCAGCGAACCAGCAGGAGGCGCUCUGAUCCGCUGGAAACCAGAGUUUAGGUUGGAAACAGAGACUGAACGGACAAAAAACAGGUUAGACGAGGAAAUGAGUGGAUGAAAAUGAAAUAGUGACAACAUAAACCAUAACGAGGAAUUAUAAAACUAAGCAAUCGUCCAAUCAUAGUCCUGGAGCUAAAAGUUGGUGAACUUUGAAUUCAUCAGGUCGACACAAACACAACUUCCAAAUAGGUCCCUAACUAACAGCGACUUUUAGGGCCUAAAUAAACACUAAAAACAGAGUGUUUGGUUUAUGUUAGCCGUAACUCCAGUUUACAUUAGAGUUUAAGUCACUUACAGCUAAAAUGUUGGAUUUCCCCAAAGAAAAGUCCAGAAAAUCAUUUAAAAACACUCCAAAGCAGCACCUCAGGAUCCAGGUCUAAACUAAGACUGCAAACCACUGGGUAGCUCUGGAAUAUAUGCUAACACAUCUGGCACAAGCUAGUGCUAGCUUUAUAUUGACUAAAGGUUCAUUUUCAGAAGCUACAACGGUUUAGCUGUAAUUAGCUGACAGGUUUUAUGAAUGCAAACUUUGCUGAUACAGCUAGCUAACGUUUACGUUAGCGAGCCUAAACAGUUCAAGUCCGGUUAGGCUAGCAAUCAAAGCCGCUGAGGAAAAAUCAGCUAGCAGGUCAAACACUUUAGUACAACAGCUGGCAUCAGCUAGCUAACAGGCUAGGCUACCAAAACAACUUAAAACAACUCAGGCCAGGUCAGCUAGUGGCUUAGUUUUACCAGCUAACACAGUUAAGUUCUAGUUAGCUAGUCAACUUGGCGGUAGCUAACAGUUGAGGUGUUAGCAGCUGAAACUGAUGAAUUCAGACAGUUCAGUUUAUCAGAUUUAAUAUUUUAAAUCUGGACUCCAACAUGUUGAUGAAUCUUUAUCAAACUUUAAGUCAACGUAUCUGAGAAAGAAUUUCUAUUUGUUAUUAUUUCUAACUUUUCACAAGACAAAAAACUGAUGUUUUAUCUUUAUAACGUCUUGUUUUGGUGCUGAAAGGUGUUUCUGUCACGUCUCAGUUUGAGAAUAACUCCAUCUUUGUUUCCAGCCCAAACUCUAAAUGCUACCUGGUGACCUCAUUCAUCCCAGCGUCGGCCAUGUUGUUGUAACCGUGUCUCUGUGACUUUGUGGAAACCGCCGUCUUCCAUCCAUAACGUAGAUUAAACAAUCGGUUUGGCGAUUGAUUAGCUGAACAAGUAGCUGUGCUAACAGUAGUAGCGAACUUCAGGGCUCCACGUUGAUGAGUCACCAGCCAAAAAGUUGCAGAGUUGAUGAUGAAGAGUCGACUUUGAGCCCUGAUGAUGUCACCUGUGUUCCAUCUCCAUGCUGUGAUCACUGUGCUCAUUCACACUGACUAAACCAACGGCAAUAAAACUAACAUCAUGACAAACAGUUCCUCUGUCUCCGUGGUUACUGGGCUG
ensembl:lncRNA